UGUUUUCUCCGCUGCCUGUGUGUAUAUGUACGUAUACGUGUGAGAUGAGGAAGAAUCAAUGGCGAUUCCAAAGAAUUAAGAUCAAUUCUCACACUCUGCAUUGUUAUGAUAGUUGUUUCUAUUGCUUUUACUCUCAAAUUUUAAACAAUGAAGAAAAUGCUUCAGAAAGCCGAUAAGAAUGGUCGAAGAAAGCGCUUAAUUAAUAAAUAAGGUAGUGGCAUCAAUGGACUGGCCCGAGGUCACCACAUACAAAGAACUCUACACACAUGGUCAGUGAGAGGAAAUAUUAAGGAAUCUCUACUGCACUUGUGAAACUGAAAGGGGUGUUGUUGCUAGUGGCAUGACCAGGGACUAUUUGAUGGCAUUCUACCAGCAAACAGAACUCCGACCUAAACGGAUCAUAUUCUACAGGGAUGGAGUCAGUGAAGGUCAGUUUAAUCAGGUCUUGCUGAAAGAGAUGGAUGCCAUUAGGACGGUUGAUGUGUUUUAUUUUUUGUCUGCCAGGCGCUGCAAUCAAAUUAUUUACAAUGGCAGGAAAUCAACUGAUCGGAGUGGCAACAUAUCACCUGGUACUGUUGUAAAUAUGACCAUCUGCCAUCCCACUGAGUUUGACUUUUAUUUGUGUAGCCAUGCUGGUAUACAGAUUAUGACACUCAAAAUAUUUUAAUGGGCAAUAGGACGGACUUUGACUUUGUUGUCGGCAAUGCACAGACUAAUGAGGGUGUUGAAAAGGUGAAACCUCCAACCGGUAGCCCAAUAUCUAUGUUAAUGGCUACUCCAGAUGGCUCAUAUGCAUUACCAAGCAGUUGAUGUUUUUAAGCUAAAUGAGUGUCAGAGAUACCAUCAUAUCUCAGUAAAUCAGUGUUUGUCGAGCACAAAUUGUUCUUGCCGAUGAUUAGUUGCCCAAAAAUACUGUAAGACAUACUGUAUAAAGAAUUCAAGAGGCCGAUAACAGCAGCGGAGAUAAUAAAGGCCGUGAUUCCCAGUUGCAAGGUCUGCAAUUUUUUCUGUCUUCGAGUCUUUGGAAUGUUGCUGUUAUGGAAUACCCCAGGAAAAUAUAACUUCGGAAUCAAGAAGUUUCGAAAGGUAGCUUGGCAAAUCAGCCCAACCAAAGCUGCUCAGAAGUACAACUUAGAUACAAGUUGUUUUUUCAAAUAUGUGUGAGUCCUUGUAUUGAUAUCUAUCAGGCUAACGAGUGAUGCCACUAUGGAUAUGAUCUUGUAGUGAAAUUUAUAUAUACAUUCAUUUAUGCACGUAUGUAUAUUAAUGUGUUAACUGUACCAAAUAUUUAUCAUUUAAUAUUUUUAUUCACGGAAA